rnacentral:misc_RNA from 1 species
GAUGAAGAACGUAGCGAAAUGCGAUAAGUAAUGCGAAUUGUAGAAUUCCAGUGAGUCAUCGAAUCUUUGAACGCACAUUGCGCCCUUUGGUAUUCCGAAGGGCAUGCCUGUUCGAGCGUCAUUAUCACCCCUCAAGCCCUCGGCUUGGUGUUGGACGGUUUGGUGGAGGCCCCCUCGGGGGCUCCUGCCCCUCCCAAAGACAAUGACGGCGGCCUCGUUGGACCCCCGGUACACUGAGUUCUUCACGGGACACGUAUCGGACACAUGGGUUUACGGGACACGGUCUGCCUCCCCUCAGGGAGAAUCUUUCUAAGGUUGACCUCGGAUCAGGUAGGGAUACCCGCUGAACUUAAGCAUAUCAAUAAGCGGAGGA